CCAUGCAAGUCGAACGAUGAUCCGGUGCUUGCGCCGGGGAUUAGUGGCGAACGGGUGAGUAACACGUGAGUAACCUGCCCUUGACUCUGGGAUAAGCCUGGGAAACCGGGUCUAAUACCGGAUACGACCUGUCACCGCAUGGUGGUUGGUGGAAAGAUUUUUUGGUUUUGGAUGGACUCGCGGCCUAUCAGCUUGUUGGUGAGGUAAUGGCUCACCAAGGCGACGACGGGUAGCCGGCCUGAGAGGGUGACCGGCCACACUGGGACUGAGACACGGCCCAGACUCCUACGGGAGGCAGCAGUGGGGAAUAUUGCACAAUGGGCGAAAGCCUGAUGCAGCGACGCCGCGUGAGGGAUGACGGCCUUCGGGUUGUAAACCUCUUUCAGCAGGGAAGAAGCGAAAGUGACGGUACCUGCAGAAGAAGCGCCGGCUAACUACGUGCCAGCAGCCGCGGUAAUACGUAGGGCGCAAGCGUUGUCCGGAAUUAUUGGGCGUAAAAGAGCUCGUAGGCGGUUUGUCGCGUCUGCUGUGAAAGCCCGGGGCUCAACCCCGGGUCUGCAGUGGGUACGGGCAGACUAGAGUGCAGUAGGGGAGACUGGAAUUCCUGGUGUAGCGGUGAAAUGCGCAGAUAUCAGGAGGAACACCGAUGGCGAAGGCAGGUCUCUGGGCUGUAACUGACGCUGAGGAGCGAAAGCAUGGGGAGCGAACAGGAUUAGAUACCCUGGUAGUCCAUGCCGUAAACGUUGGGCACUAGGUGUGGGGGACAUUCCACGUUUUCCGCGCCGUAGCUAACGCAUUAAGUGCCCCGCCUGGGGAGUACGGCCGCAAGGCUAAAACUCAAAGGAAUUGACGGGGCCCGCACAAGCGGCGGGAGCAUGCGGAUUAAUUCGAUGCAACGCGAAGAACCUUACCAAGGCUUGACAUGGACCGGACCGCCGCAGAAAUGCGGUUUCCCUUCGGGGUCGGUUUACAGGUGGGUGCAUGGUUGUCGUCAGCUCGUGUCGUGAGAUGUUGGGUUAAGUCCAAGCGCAACCCUCGUUCUAUGUUGCCAGCGCGUGAUGGCGGGGACUCAUAGGAGACUGCCGGGGUCAACUCGGAGGAAGGUGGGGACGACGUCAAAUCAUCAUGCCCCUUAUGUCUUGGGCUUCACGCAUGCUACAAUGGCCGGUACAAAGGGUUGCGAUACUGUGAGGUGGAGCUAAUCCCAAAAAGCCGGUCUCAGUUCGGAUUGAGGUCUGCAACUCGACCUCAUGAAGUCGGAGUCGCUAGUAAUCGCAGAUCAGCAACGCUGCGGUGAAUACGUUCCCGGGCCUUGUACACACCGCCCGUCAAGUCACGAAAGUUGGUAACACCCGAAGCCGGUGGCCUAACCC
rnacentral:rRNA from 1 species